GGGGCUGGGGCUCAGUGGUAGAGCGCUUGCCUAGCAUGCACAAGGCACCAGGUUCCUUCCUCAGCACCA
rnacentral:tRNA from 1 species